UACCAGCACCCCGAGUGGUCGGGACGAUUAUUGGGCCUAAAGCAUCCGUAGCCGGUUCUACAAGUCUUCCGUUAAAUCCACCUGCUCAACAGUUGGGCUGCGGAGGAUACUAUAGAGCUAGGAGGCGGGAGAGGCAAGCGGUACUUAGUGGGUAGGGGUAAAAUCCGUUGAUCCAUUGAAGACCACCAGUGGCGAAGGCGACUACCUGGCAUGAUACUGACACUGAGGCGCGAGAGCGUGGGGAGCAAACAGG
rnacentral:rRNA from 1 species